rnacentral:lncRNA from 1 species
CAAGUCUUCUCCUUUUAGAAGUUUAGACCUUUUUUCUCAGUAUUCUCCCCUGAUGUAACAGCAAUACUGGCUUUGUCUUCUGCCAAAUCAUCAGUUUUCAUCUCCUAUGAGAACAAGAAUAAAAAAUGUGAAUGGCACCCUUAUCCACCAAUGAUUUGCUUCAUCGAAGAUGUCAGUAAAGAGAUGAGGGCUGACUUACUAAAAAGGAGGAGACUUCUGGGAGGAGUCCCGAGAGACAAGGGUGGAAAUACAGUUUUCUCUGGAGUAUGGCCAGAGAUUUUAUUUUGAAUAUCAUACUGUGCAAACUGUGACUUACAUGUGACAAGCGAAUAGUCAAGACCUAACUUAUAUUAAUGAUUUACUGCUGUCUCAUAAAGUAAAAAAAAAAAUAAAUAAAUAAAAAAAAAAUAAAAAAAAUUGUGUAUAUCUCAAAACAUGUUUAAGUCUUGCAAACAUGUGCAGCAUCCUCCCCAUCCUUGCUUUGUAUUGCUCCUUAUAACAUGUUCCAUACUCCAUCCAGUUUGUCAUUAAAUCAAGAAAAAUGCUCAUUCAGUGUACUGCAUUUAAACCAUCACCAAAGCAGACUUCUGUAAAACAGUCAACUUCUUACCGGAGGCUUGCUAACUGCUAGUUGGCUUUGGAUACUUCUUGAUUUUAUCCAGCCAUCUCAUGUUAUUUCAGAAGCUUAUCAACAGGAACUAGUUUUCACCCAGCUCUCAACUCGUAUGCAUUUCUGAACAGACUUACAUGUUAAAUUUAAAUGUUUCUAAUCUGAUAAUCUCUUCAUCAAACCUUAAUUUGCAAAACCUAGACACAAUAUGUCUGUCUCUGUGAGUUAAUCUUCUGUAUCUCCCUGUUAUCAUCUGUAUUUUCAGUGUAUGUUUUUGCUCUCUAAGGUACAG